rnacentral:rRNA from 1 species
UACGUAGGUGGCAAGCGUUGUCCGGAAUUACUGGGUGUAAAGCGCGUGUAGGCGGCAGGCCAAGUCUGCGGUGAAAGCGCCCGGCUCAACUGGGCGAGGUCCGUGGAAACUGGUCAGCUGGAGGACGGUAGAGGCGAGUGGAAUUCCCGGUGUAGUGGUGAAAUGCGUAGAUAUCGGGAGGAACACCCAUGGCGAAGGCAGCAAGCUGGGCGACACCUGACGCUGAGGCGCGAAAGCGUGGGUAGCAAACAGG